rnacentral:rRNA from 1 species
UACGGGGGGGGCAAGCGUUGUUCGGAAUUACUGGGCGUAAAGGGCUCGUAGGUGGCCAACUAAGUCAGACGUGAAAUCCCUCGGCUUAACCGGGGAACUGCAUCUAAUACUGGAAGGCUUGAGUUUGGGAGAGGGAUGCGGAAUUCCAGGUGUAGCGGUGAAAUGCGUAGAUAUCUGGAGGAACACCGGUGGCGAAGGCGGCAUCCUGGACCAACACUGACACUGAGGAGCGAAAGCCAGGGGAGCAAACGGG